UGCGUGGUGGCGGCGGAGCAAACAGGGGCUGGAGCCCGUCGGUAGAGCACUUCUUCUCUUGCCGCCCGAGCAACCCGUGUAAUAAUCCCUCUCAGCUAUUAGGCGGUUGUUCGUUUGAAAUACGCGCCA
ensembl:ncRNA F18E2.9 ncRNA